rnacentral:rRNA from 1 species
UGGGGAAUAUUGCACAAUGGGCGAAAGCCUGAUGCAGCAACGCCGCGUGAGUGAUGAAGGCCUUCGGGUCGUAAAACUCUGUCCUCAAGGAAGAUAAUGACGGUACUUGAGGAGGAAGCCCCGGCUAACUACGUGCCAGCAGCCGCGGUAAUACGUAGGGGGCUAGCGUUAUCCGGAUUUACUGGGCGUAAAGGGUGAGUAGGUGGUCUCUUAAGUCAGGAGUGAAAGGCUACGGCUUAACCGUAGUAAGCUCUUGAAACUGGGAGACUUGAGUGCAGGAGAGGAGAGUGGAAUUCCUAGUGUAGCGGUGAAAUGCGUAGAUAUUAGGAGGAACACCAGUUGCGAAGGCGGCUCUCUGGACUGUAACUGACACUGAGGCACGAAAGCGUGGGGAGCAAACAGG